rnacentral:misc_RNA from 1 species
AGAAAGAUGUAAUUUAGCUCAACUGAAAUGAGAGGAAGGGUUUCGAUCUAAUGCGAUAAAACCCCUAACUAACUGCCCUUUAGCAUGGAUUGCUUUGUCUGCCUUCUUAACGGAAAGGGUUCCCCUCAAACCCCGCCUUUUAGAAAAAAUGGAAGAUUUCAAGGCUAGGACGUUCUAGGAGGAGAACUUCUAUCUCUUCUAAUUGUCUGAUCUGUUUUACAUUAUAUGAAAUAAAGAUGUUAUGUUGUUGAAUCGAGAGCAAGAUCUAAUGAUU